AACGAACGCUGGCGGCAGGCUUAACACAUGCAAGUCGAGCGAAGACUUCGGUCUUAGCGGCGGACGGGUUAGUAACGCGUGGGAACGUGCCUCUCUCUACGGAAUAGUCCUGGGAAACUGGGUUUAAUACCGUAUACGCCCUCUGGGGGAAAGAUUUAUCGGAGAGAGAUCGGCCCGCGUUGGAUUAGGUAGUUGGUGGGGUAAUGGCCUACCAAGCCUACGAUCCAUAGCUGGUUUUAGAGGAUGAUCAGCAACACUGGGACUGAGACACGGCCCAGACUCCUACGGGAGGCAGCAGUGGGGAAUCUUAGACAAUGGGCGCAAGCCUGAUCUAGCCAUGCCGCGUGAGUGAUGAAGGCCCUAGGGUUGUAAAGCUCUUUCACCGGUGAAGAUAAUGACGGUAACCGGAGAAGAAGCCCCGGCUAACUUCGUGCCAGCCGCCGCGGUAAUAC
rnacentral:rRNA from 1 species